rnacentral:rRNA from 1 species
GUGGGGAAUAUUGGACAAUGGGGGAAACCCUGAUCCAGCCAUGCCGCGUGUGUGAAGAAGGCCUUCGGGUUGUAAAGCACUUUCAGUAGGGAGGAAAGCUCGGUGGCUAAUAUCUACCGGGUUUGACGUUACCUACAGAAGCAGCACCGGCUAACUUCGUGCCAGCAGCCGCGGUAAUACGAAGGGUGCAAGCGUUAAUCGGAAUUACUGGGCGUAAAGCGCGCGUAGGCGGUUUGGUUAGUUGGAUGUGAAAGCCCCGGGCUCAACCUGGGAACUGCAUCCAAUACUGCCAAGCUAGAGUACGGUAGAGGGGGGUAGAAUUCCACGUGUAGCGGUGAAAUGCGUAGAGAUGUGGAGGAAUACCAGUGGCGAAGGCGGCCCCCUGGAUCGAUACUGACGCUGAGGUGCGAAAGCGUGGGGAGCAAACAGGAUUAGAUACCCUAGUAGUCC